AAAACGACUCUCGGCAACGGAUAUCUCGGCUCUCGCAUCGAUGAAAAACGUAACGAAAUGCGAUACUUGGUGUGAAUUGCAGAAUCCCGUGAACCAUCCAGUCUUUUAACGCAAGUUGCGCCCGAAGCCAUCCGGCCGAGGGCACGUCUGCCUGGGCGU
rnacentral:rRNA from 1 species